AAAAAAAGGAAAAAGAACGUUGAUGUCCUUAUAAAAAAAUUUUAGGAAAAUAAUAAAUAAUCUUACGCCAAAAAAAAUAGAAAUGGCAUGAUUAAAAACAUUCCCCCAUGCUGUAAUUAACAGUGAUCAGUCGUAAAUUGUGAGAACAACAAAUGAGCAAACAUGUGAAUUUUGUCUUCUGAUUCUGGUCUUUGUUGAUCGUCUAAGAAAGGACUAGGCAAAGGAUAAAAAACAUUGUUUAACAUCCACUUCAUUACAUGAGCUGGAUCGAUUGUCCCAUAGAGAAAGUGAAGUAAGCUUAGAUUCACUGGAGAUGCUAUGGUACAUAUAUAAACAUGUAGCCAUGAAGAGAUUUGUAUGCUUCAUUGAUGAAGUAAGUUUUACUCCAUUGAUCAGGUUGCAUGGGGAGAUCACCCAGUCAAUUUUUAGUUCUGUUAACUUCAUAUAGCACGUUCAGAGCCUUCUCCACCGGAUUCCACUUUAUGUUACUAGUUUGCUGGUAUAGACUGCGUAAUUUGAUUUUUACUGGGGUUAAAUCUUCAUUGUGCAUCCAAAUAUAAACAUUAAUCAUCAGCCCU
rnacentral:lncRNA from 1 species